GACGAAAUCCCCAAGGUGAUGAUGCUUCAACAAUGAAGGUUGACAUUCACUCAAGUGCCUUGUGUAUGACAUCUGUUAGUGAUUCCAGAUUGUUGACGAAAUAUCGUCUUCUGCUACCAGCUACCUCUAGGUUCGGAUGACCAUUGAUAAUUGGAGAGCAGCAUAGGAAUGCAACAGCUUUGUCUGGGUCAAAUGCCCUACUAAAUUGAAUCCUCUUGGCCGUCUUGGGAAACGUUGUCUGCUCCUAAGUUACACAACACAUAUCAUAACUCAUAAGUUAAUUAACAAUAUCAAAACAAAUUUAGAUUGGGAUUUUGAGUUCACUUAGUUUUUGCGUGACCUAGGUGCUUGUGACAAUGGAAAUGAUAUGAUCCACCAAUAAUGCAAGCUAUGUCUUCCAAAGCUAAAUAGUUUCUACUGUCAUUUAAUGUUUAUAGUAAUAUUUCAGGUAACUUACCCAGUCAAAUCGUAGCAAAUCUUCAAGAUAUUAAUUGAUGCCUUCCUCAGAUCCAAUUCUUUGCUGCUAUCUCUUUUGCAGACAGUUGUGGUGACCUUCACCUAGUUCUAAUUUAGGACAUGUAACAUUGAUAGAUUUGAGGUUAAUCCCUCACCACUCUAUAGUUGUUUGGAAACUGAAGUGAGAUUGCUGGAACUGAAGACUAAUAAUUUGUGUAGAUGCAGAUACAUUACAAGUGCAUAUCUGGGUUUCCUUCUUUUCUGUGGUCUCGUUUCCCUAACUAACCACUAACCAACGCCCGCCGGUGGACACUCACCCGCUAUGGAGGUUCAUGAGGCUUAACUCGGAAGCCUAUUAUUACUAAAGAAGUAUUUAAUGGUUUGUACUAGCCGUUUUAUUGAUAUUUUUAUAUUUUAAAAAAAUUAUAAAAAUGAGUUUCCUG